rnacentral:rRNA from 1 species
CGUGAGCGGCGGACGGGUGAGUAACGCGUGGGUAACCUGCUCAUACAGGGGAUAACAGUUAGAAAUGACUGCUAAUACCGCAUAAGACACGGUACCGCAUGGUACAGUGGUAAAAACUCCGGUGGUAUGAGAUGGACCCGCGUCUGAUUAGGUAGUUGGUGGGGUAACGGCCUACCAAGCCGACGAUCAGUAGCCGACCUGAGAGGGUGACCGGCCACAUUGGGACUGAGACACGGCCCAG